UACGAAGGGGCUAGCGUUGCUCGGAAUUACUGGCGUAAGCGCACGUAGGCGGAUUGUUAAGUCGGGGUGAAAUCCUGGAACUCAACUCCAGAACUGCCUUCGAUACUGGCGAUCUCGAGUCGGGAGAGGUGAGUGGAACUGCGAGUGUAGAGGUGAAAUUCGUAGAUAUUCGCAAGAACACCAGUGGCGAAGGCGGCUCACUGGCCCGAUACUGACGCUGAGGUGCGAAAGCGUGGGAGCAAACAGG
rnacentral:rRNA from 1 species